UACGUAGGGGGCAAGCGUUGUCCGGAAUCAUUGGGCGUAAAGAGCGUGUAGGCGGCCAGAAAAGUCCGCUGUGAAAACUCGAGGCUCAACUUCGAGCUGUCGGUGGAAACUUUCUGGCUAGAGUCCGGAAGAGGAGAAUGGAAUUCCUGGUGUAGCGGUGAAAUGCGCAGAUAUCAGGAAGAACACCCGUGGCGAAGGCGGGUCUCUGGGCCGUAACUGACGCUGAGGAGCGAAAGCGUGGGGAGCGAACAGG
rnacentral:rRNA from 1 species